UACGUAGGGUGCGAGCGUUGUCCGGAAUUAUUGGGCGUAAAGAGCUUGUAGGCGGUUUGUCGCGUCUGCUGUGAAAAUCCGGGGCUCAACCCCGGACUUGCAGUGGGUACGGGCAGACUAGAGUGUGGUAGGGGAGACUGGAAUUCCUGGUGUAGCGGUGAAAUGCGCAGAUAUCAGGAGGAACACCGAUGGCGAAGGCGGCAUCCUGGACCAUUACUGACGCUGAUGAGCGAAAGCCAGGGGAGCAAACGGG
rnacentral:rRNA from 1 species